AUUACGGGAGGCAGCAGGGGGGAAUAUUGGACAAUGGGCCACAAGCCUGAUCCAGCAAUUCUGUGUGCACGAUGAAGGUCUUCGGAUCGUAAAGUGCUUUCAGUUGGGAAGAAGAAAGUGACGGUACCAACAGAAGAAGCGACGGCUAAAUACGUGCCAGCAGCCGCGGUAAUAAU
rnacentral:rRNA from 1 species